rnacentral:lncRNA from 1 species
AUAAAAAUAAAUUGUUUUUAUACUUCUUUGGUUCUGCCAAGACCUGCAGUUGAAAUAUUGUCAGUAACUGAGAAUUUUUGUUCCAUUUGCUUUAAGGUUCUAGAUUUACAAAAGAAGACCAAGGACUAACUUAGAGAAUUUUGUUUUUAGCCAUUCUAGCGGAAUUCCAUAUCGGACAACGCAGUAAUACUCUUUCAAAACUAGCCAUAGUAAAAAUCUGAGUUGUGGUGCAGAAAAAUGAACAGUGUCCAAGAAAAUAAAUCGUAUUCAAUAUGUCAGACAUGCAUGAAUCACUGUUUAACACCUGACGUUCGGACGAAUUGUUAUCCUAGUGUAGCAGGUAACGGGUAGUGUCGUAGUAGUGAAAGGGUAGUUUAUUUUACUGCCAACCAAAGUGCGAAUCACGUGACAUAUGUUGGGCGUGAACUCUUGAUCAUUCAGUAGGCAGUCGGCAAAGCACGAGGAAGGACACAAAGAGAAGAGAGAAAGGCUGCAAAGCGGGAAAGGAAGGCUGAUGAGUCUAAUUAUUGAUUGGUCAUCUACACCUUCUUCAGACAAUGUCAGAACCCAAGUUUGUUGUGAUGUCUGCCAUCAUUCCAGUUGACUCGCACAGUGGUGAACUUCAUAGCAGCUGAUAGAAUGGGAACCAGAACAUACCUUAGUGAAAGCCAAGACAUUUUCAUUCUUCAAGUAACCAAUGCCAGUCAUGUGACGCUUGUUGAGAGUGCAUGUUCAUUAGCAGACAGUCGUUACAGGAUAAAAAACCGAACUCAAAAGCAAGGAAGGAAGGCUUAAUUUAGAGCAGAGACUUUCACUAUUUCCAUGCAUGGAAAAUGAAAUAACGACUGUCCUUGUGUAGAGAUCCAGACACUGUUCCCAAGGUGAUGUGAAAUGGUGCCAAGUGUUGUAUAUGUCUCCUGCCUUUACUCAGCAGGACCACUGCUGCAUGGAUCUUCAGUAUCUUCAGUUAGAACUCUGAUGAUACUGAGGAAAUAUUCUACAUCUUCACCAUGGUUAUGGUCAAGUUGUAAUUCCCAUGUAGCAAUUGCUGUACAGUGUAAAGUCAGGAUGUAUGUUUUUCUAAGAAAGCGGCAAGGUGUUUCAACGUGGAAGCUGUGCAUCUGGACAGGAUGAGAGUGGUUCUAUUCCAAUGGCUGUAAGCACGAAAUCACAUGGCCUUGUGCGAAAGACAUCAUUCUAUGAAUCAGUCAACCACAAGUAUACCUCUAAUUUAAACUCCUGAAAAUAUCCAUGGUUGUGACCUAGCAGACAAAAUGUGAGCCAGGAAGUUACCUCUGCAAAAGCCCAGACAUUCCAUAUGUAGGAGUAUCUUCAAUCAAUUGCAUCUUAGCCAAGAAGUUAACUUGGAUCUGCUUCACAGGGAGUCAUUGAUGAUUAACUAGGUAGUAGGAUACAGUUCUCUGAUCAGAUGGAAUCGCUUUAUAUUAUCUCGCUGGAAUUUAAAGAGCUGAGGCUACCAUCAGGAAAAUCUACCAUGUAAUAACACUAACUCGGAACAUUGCUACUGAGUCUACCACAGGGUAAUGCUGACUAGGAAAUAGCUAUUGAGUCUACCACACAGUAAUACAAACCCAGAGCAUUGCUAUUAUGUCUUCUACACAGUAACACUGCCCUAGAAUGAUGCUACCACACAGUAAUUUGGACUAGGUCAUUGCUAUUAGGAGUUUCUGUGCAGUAACACUGACCUGAGUUGUCCACACAUGAAAAACACACAGUAACAUUGACUUAGGCUGUUGCUACAGAUCUUCCACACAGUAAUACUGACCCCAAAGUGUAGCUUUUCUAUGGAAAAUUCAGACAGAUAACUGAAGUUACCUGUCAAUAGAUACAAUAACUAUUAUCUGUUAAUGUUAACACUCUUGAUUCUGAGGGCUGGAAUCUGCUGAACACUGGAAAAAAAGUGGAGAUAAACAUGCAACUCACUGUGUGUGACAUUAGUGCAAAUUUUUUUCAAAUGUGACUGUGAGAUAUAAACAUUAAAAUUAUUUUAAGUAACAUUUAUAAUUAGUAAUGUUCAAAGGUUGUAAUGAAAACUCACUGAAUGUGACAUCAAUGUUCAGACGACUAUGAAAGAAAGAGGGUUAUAAUUACUGGUAAAAAUCUAUAAGAGUAGAUAUUAGAAUAUUGUUUAAAAGUGACAGUAGAUACAGUAAAAUGUGGAUAAUAUGUGUUUUGAUUGUUCAAUGUCAAAUAAUAAAGUGUAACUGAUUG